UAGGGAAUCUUCCGCAAUGGGCGAAAGCCUGACGGAGCAACGCCGCGCGAGUGAUGAAGGUCUUCGGAUCGUAAAACUCUGUUAUUAGGGAAGAACAAAUGUGUAAGUAACUAUGCACGUCUUGACGGUACCUAAUCAGAAAGCCACGGCUAACUACGUGCCAGCAGCCGCGGUAAUACGUAGGUGGCAAGCGUUAUCCGGAAUUAGUGGGCGUAAAGCGCGCGUAGGCGGUUUUUUAAGUCUGAUGUGAAAGCCCACGGCUCAACCGUGGAGGGUCAUUGGAAACUGGAAAACUUGAGUGCAGAAGAGGAAAGUGGAAUUCCAUGUGUAGCGGUGAAAUGCGCAGAGAUAUGGAGGAACACCAGUGGCGAAGGCGACUUUCUGGUCUGUAACUGACGCUGAUGUGCGAAAGCGUGGGGAUCAAACAGG
rnacentral:rRNA from 1 species